UACGUAAAGGACUAGUGUUAGUCAUCUUUAUUAGGUUUAAAGGGUACCUAGACGGUAAAUUAAACCCCUAAAGGGUACUUUUUUACUAGAGUUUUAUAAGAGAAAGGAGAAUUUUUAGAGUAGAGAUAAAAUUCUUUGAUACUAAAAGGACUGGUAAGGGACGAAGGCUGCUUUCUAUGUAAAAACUGACGUUGAAGGGACGAAGGCUUGGGUAGCAAUAAGG
rnacentral:rRNA from 1 species